UUUCCGUAGGUGAACCUGCGGAAGGAUCAUUAUUGUAUAACCGAGGUGCGAGGGCUGUCGCUGACUCGCUAUUGCGUGCACGCCCGAGUGCCUUCACACCCAUCCAUCACACCGCUAUGUGCCCCACCGCCUGAGUCCCCCUGUGGUCUAUUGGGAUGUCGGCGUACGUAUCCACUCAGAUUAAGUUUUCUGCGUAGGAUGUCUUGUUUGUGUUUUCGAUGACGCAAUCGAUACAACUGUCAAGAACGGGUCUCUUGUCUCUCGCAGCGAUGAAGAACC
rnacentral:misc_RNA from 1 species